rnacentral:rRNA from 1 species
UUGGAGGGCAAGUCUGGUGCCAGCAGCCGCGGUAAUUCCAGCUCCAAUAGCGUAUAUUAAAGUUGUUGCAGUUAAAAAGCUCGUAGUUGAAUUUCGGAGUUUGUCGGUUGGUCGGGCUUCACUGUCCGCACUGGCCUGAUGGAUUCCUACCUUCUGAAUAACCAGCAUGCUAUUAAGUUAGUGCGUUGGGGAAGCAGAGCUAUUACCUUGAAAAAAUUAGAGUGCUUAAAGCAGGCUUUUGCUUGAAUAGAUUAGCAUGGAAUAAUAAAAUAGGACGGCAUGGUUCUAUUUUGUUGGUUUCUAGGAUCACCGUAAUGAUUAAUAGGGAUAGUUGGGGGCAUUAGUAUUCAAUUGUCAGAGGUGAAAUUCUUGGAUUUAUUGAAGACUAACUUCUGCGAAAGCACUUGCCAAGGAUGUUUUCAUUAAUCAAGAACGAAAGUUAGGGGAUCGAAGACGAUCAGAUACCGUCGUAGUCUUAACCAUAAACUAUGCCGACUAGGGAUCGGACGAAGUUAAUUUUAUAAUGACGCGUUCGGCGCCUUACGGGAAAC